GAAAGCCAUAUGCAAUGAAAAAUGCAAGCACGGCUUGGAGAGGGAUUUUUUUUUACCUAUUUUUUAACAAACAAUGAAAAUUUCUACUCUAU
rnacentral:ncRNA from 1 species